rnacentral:rRNA from 1 species
UACGUAGGGUGCGAGCGUUGUCCGGAAUUAUUGGGCGUAAAGAGCUCGUAGGCGGUGUGUCACGUCGGCCGUGAAAACCUGCAGCUUAACUGUGGGCGUGCGGUCGAUACGGGCAUCACUGGAGUUCGGCAGGGGAGACUGGAAUUCCUGGUGUAGCGGUGGAAUGCGUUGAUAUCAGGAGGAACACCGGCGGCGAAGGCGAGGCUCUGGCCCAUUACUGACGCUGAGACGCGAAAGCUAGGGGAGCAAACGGG